UACGAAGGGGGGCUAGCGUUGCUCGGAAUCACUGGGCGUAAAGCGCACGUAGGCGGCUUUCUAAGUCAGGGGUGAAAUCCUGGAGCUCAACUCCAGAACUGCCUUUGAUACUGAAGAUCUUGAGUUCGGGAGAGGUGAGUGGAACUGCGAGUGUAGAGGUGAAAUUCGUAGAUAUUCGCAAGAACACCAGUGGCGAAGGCGGCUCACUGGCCCGAUACUGACGCUGAUGCACGAAAGCGUGGGGAGCAAACAGG
rnacentral:rRNA from 1 species